rnacentral:rRNA from 1 species
AUUGAACGCUGGCGGCAGGCCUAACACAUGCAAGUCGAGCGGAGCGGCGGACGGGUGAGUGAUGAAUAGGAAUGUGCCUGGUAGUGGGGGAUAAGGUCCGGAAACGGGAGCUAAUCCCGCAUACUAUCAGAUGAGCGUAGGUCGUAUUGUCUAGUUGUUGGGGUAAGGGCAUACCAAGUCGACGAUCCGUAACUGGUAUGAGAGGAUGAUCAGUCAAACUGGAACUGAGACACGGUCCAGACUCCUAAGGGAGGCAGCAGUGGGGAAUAUUGGACAAUGGGCGAAAGCCUGAUCCAGCCAUGCCGCGUGUGUGAAGAAGGUCUGCGGAUUGUAAAGCACUUUAAGUUGGGAGGCGUUACCAACAGAAGAAGCACCGGCUAACUUCGUGCCAGCAGCCGCGGUAAUAC